UACGGAGGGUGCAAGCAUUAAUCGGAUUUAUUGGGCGUAAAGGGCGCGUAGGCGGAAAUGGAAGUCAGAUGUGAAAUCCCAGGGCUCAACCCUGGAACAGCAUUUGAAACUCUAUAUCUAGAGGGUAGGCGGAGAAAACGGAAUUCCACAAGUAGCGGUGAAAUGCGUAGAUAUGUGGAAGAACACCGGUGGCGAAGGCGGUUUUCUAGCUUAUACCUGACGCUGAGGCGCGAAAGUAAGGGGAUCAAACAGG
rnacentral:rRNA from 1 species